UACGUAGGGGGCAAGCGUUGUCCGGAUUUAUUGGGCGUAAAGAGCGUGUAGGCGGCCAUACAGGUCCGUUGUGAAAACUCGAGGCUCAACCUCGAGACGUCGAUGGAAACCGUAUGGCUAGAGUCCGGAAGAGGAGAGUAGAAUUCCUGGUGUAGCGGUGAAAUGCGCAGAUAUCAGGAAGAACACCCGUGGCGAAGGCGGCUCUCUGGGACGGUACUGACGCUGAGGAGCGAAAGCAUGGGGAGCGAACAGG
rnacentral:rRNA from 1 species